rnacentral:rRNA from 1 species
UCUUGGUUCUCGCAUCGAUGAAGAACGCAGCGAAAUGCGAUACGUAAUACGAAUUGCAGCUCUCGGAAUCAUCGAAUCUUUGAACGCACAUUGCGCCAUGGGGUAUUCCCCAUGGCAUGCCUGUUUGAGCGGUGGCCCCUUUCGUCUCCAGACGGUCUUGUCACUAAAGAAAUCCAAGAAUAAUCAAACACUAUUCUUUCCUUUUCUCCCUCAAAUCAGGUAGGACUACCCGCUGAACUUAAGCAUAUCAAUAAGCGGAGGAAAAGAAACCAACAGGGAUUGCCUCAGUAACGGCGAGUGAAGCGGCAAAAGCUCAAAUUUGAAACCGCUCGCGGGUUGUAAUUUGAAGAUUGUGUUUUGGCGGUGCCCACACCUAUGUUCCUUGGAACAGGACGUCACAGAGGGUGAGAAUCCCGUGCGGCGUGGUCCCCACCGCCCUAUAAAACACUCUCGACGAGUCGAGUUGUUUGGGAAUGCAGCUCCAAGUGGGUGGUAAAUUCCAUCUAAAGCUAAAUACUGGCGAGAGACCGAUAGCGAACAAGUACCGUGAGGGAAAGAUGAAAAGCACUUUGAAAAGAGAGUGAAACAGUACGUGAAAUUGUUGAAAGGGAAGGGCAUGCCGUCAGAUGGCCAGUAUCGGUUGGGAGGGAAAGACAAAACGUCAGGAAUGUGGCCCUCGGGUGUUAUAGCCUCCGCAAUAUUUCUCCCCCGACCGAGGACUGCU